GAUGAAGAACGCAGUGAAAUGCGAUACGUAAUGCGAAUUGCAGAAUUCCAGUGAGUCAUCGAAUCUUUGAACGCACAUUGCGCCCUUUGGUAUUCCGAAGGGCAUGCCUGUUCGAGCGUCAUUAUCACCCCUCAAGCCCUCGGCUUGGUGUUGGACGGUUUGGUGGAGGCCCCCUCGGGGGCUCCUGCCCCUCCCAAAGACAAUGACGGCGGCCUCGUUGGACCCCCGGUACACUGAGUUCUUCACGGGACACGUAUCGGACACAUGGGUUUACGGGACACGGUCUGCCUCCCCUCAGGGAGAAUCUUUCUAAGGUUGACCUCGGAUCAGGUAGGGAUACCCGCUGAACUUAAGCAUAUCAAUAAGCGGAGA
rnacentral:misc_RNA from 1 species